UACAGAGGGUGCAAGCGUUAAUCGGAAUUACUGGGCGUAAAGCGUGCGUAGUCGGUUAUUUAAGUCGGGCGUGAAAGCCCCGGGCUCAACCUGGGAAUUGCGUUCGAUACUGGAUAGCUAGAGUUCGGCAGAGGGAAGCGGAAUUUCGGGUGUAGCGGUGAAAUGCGUAGAUAUCCGAAGGAACAUCAGUGGCGAAAGCGGCUUCCUGGACCAGAACUGACGAUCAGGCACGAAAGCGUGGGGAGCAAACAGG
rnacentral:rRNA from 1 species